GUGGGAUACGGCUAGUAGAAAUUUUAGCCAUUCCUUGGUAUGGAGUGGUUCACACAUCAGCCAUGCAAGCUGCUGCAGUCCUGAGGGUGUAGUAACAGCAAUGGCACAGCUCUGCUGCCAAUCUACAGCAAGAUCCCUUCAUCUCACUGGCUCCCGGGGAACUUCCCAGUGUGCAGCCUGAUUACCUCAGAAGUGCCGUAACUUCAGGGCAAAUUCAGACUGCAUUGCCUGAGCAAGAUGACGUGUAGGUGAACAGCCAGCCAGAAAACGUGGUAGUGUCAAGCCUAUCUUGAGUGAACCAGAUUGGGCAGGCUCCAGUGUGCUCCAAGUAAGGCAAGGUCAGCUGAAAUACAGCUGCAUUCUGUGCAUAGUUCAGUUCAUUGGAGGGGGAGAGCGCGACAUGCAAUUCAGAUUGUGAGGUUUAAAAUACAGCAGGCGGUUUUGUUUCUAAGUACAUGAUGUCAGAAGGAAAGAGGAAUUCUUGAGGAGUUUGCAGCUUAGUAGAUCUUACAUUGUGGGCUUUGCCAAACAUGUGUUUCCUCCCUGAAAUGACCUCUGAGGAAAGACUGAAGAAA